rnacentral:rRNA from 1 species
CGUGUAGGCGGCUCUUUAAGUGAGAUGUGAAAUCCCGUGGCUCAACCACGGAACUGCAUUUCAAACUGGAGGGCUUGAGUUUGGGAGAGGAAAGUGGAAUUCCUGGUGUAGCGGUGAAAUGCGUAGAUAUCAGGAGGAACACCCGUGGCGAGGGCGGCUUUCUGGCCCAACGCUGACGCUGAGACGCGAAAGCUAGGGGAGCGAACGGGAUUAGAUACCCCGGUAGUCCUAGCCGUAAACGAUGGAUACUAGGUGUUAGAGGUAUCGACCCCUCUAGUGCCGUAGCUAACGCAUUAAGUAUCCCGCCUGGGGAGUACGGCCGCAAGGUUGAA